rnacentral:rRNA from 1 species
AUGAAAAGAAAGAUGGAAGAUAGAAAGAGGAGGCCACGAAGUUUAACUCGUGUUGGGUGUAAUGCUAAAUUGGUCAUUACGAGACAGGAGGAAACCGGUCGGUGGUUUGCCAAGGAUUUCAUCGAUGAGCACAGCCAUCCUCUAGCCCCACGGGAUCUUUCUUGUCUGCUGCGUUCGCACAGACGAAUUAGCGAUAAGCAGAAAGUGGACAUGGAAAAAUGUGGGAUCCGUAAAUACCGUAUUAUGGAUAUUUUGUGCUUUCAAUACGGUGGAUUUGAUAAGGUUGGAUGCAUAAAGAGGGACAUUUAUAAUUUCUGCCAUGCUAAUAAGCAGGAGACAAUCAGUGCCGGUGAUGCUAAAACGGUGAUCAUGCACAUGAUGGCGAGGCGGGAGCGAGAUGUGGAUUUUUUUUCUUCAAGUACUUGGUAG